GAUGAACGCUGACAGAAUGCUUAACACAUGCAAGUCUACUUGAAUUUGGGUUUUUUAACUUAGAUUUGGGUGGCGGACGGGUGAGUAACGCGUAAAGAACUUGCCUCACAGCUAGGGACAACAUUUGGAAACGAAUGCUAAUACCUGAUAUUAUGAUUAUAAGGCAUCUUAGAAUUAUGAAAGCUAUAUGCGCUGUGAGAGAGCUUUGCGUCCCAUUAGCUAGUUGGAGAGGUAACGGCUCACCAAGGCGAUGAUGGGUAGCCGGCCUGAGAGGGUGAACGGCCACAAGGGGACUGAGACACGGCCCUUACUCCUACGGGAGGCAGCAGUGGGGAAUAUUGGACAAUGGACCAAGAGUCUGAUCCAGCAAUUCUGUGUGCACGAUGACGUUUUUCGGAAUGUAAAGUGCUUUCAGUUGGGAAGAAAAAAAUGACGGUACCAACAGAAGAAGUGACGG
rnacentral:rRNA from 1 species